rnacentral:lncRNA from 10 species
GGGGUUUCACCAUGUUAACCAGGAUGGUCUCGAUCUCCUGACCUCAUGAUCCGCCCGCCUCGGCCUCCUAAAGUGCUGGGAUUACAAGUGUGAGCCACCAGACUCGGCCUAUAUUGGACAUUUCUGAGUUACAUGUGCUGUUUGGUUCUGUGCAUCCACCGUGUCAUCAUCAAGUCAGGAUAUUUGGGGUCACCGUCAAGAUUCCCAGAUAGAAGUCAUUCAUGAGACACACCAGUGUGGCCUUGUUGGCUUGGAGCUCCUCAGAGGACGGCAGGAACAGAGUGACCGAGGGGGUGGCCUUGGGCUGACCUGUGUGGACAGAGGAGGGGGUGAGAGAUGGCAGAGGGAGUGUGGGGUGUUGUGGAGCGCCUCUCUCUGUCUAAAGUCUCUGGGAGGGUUCAUGGUGUGGCCGUCUGGUCCACCCAGGGCCUCUCCUUCCCUCCUCAUUCCCUCCUUUCCACUGGAGCCCUCUGGAGAGCAGACAGCCCUGUGCCUUCCUAGGACCCCUUCCCAAGUCACCUUUCCCAGGUGUCCUGGCCCAGCCCUUUCCUCUGCAGCCUCAGUUUCCCCGUGUGCACCCAGGGCAGGCUGUGCUCCCUCCUUCCUGGUUUCUGGAGUCUGAGUUUGGAAUCUAGGGGUCUCCCCAACAGCACACAAAACUGACCUGGCAGGGUGUGGGGAGGCCCAAGCCUGGCAUGGCCUGGAGCUUCCCAUCCCCUGGGGCACCAGGCUGUGACCCAGCCUGGCCCACUCAGCUCUCCUGGUGAAGCGUGGGCUCCACCCAGACACACCCUGGGGCUCUGCCGUCGCCCCUGUCCCCACCAGCCCAACCACAGGACCCUUCACAUCGGCUGGGUUCUUGGGGCUGCUAACACAGAUGUUGGGGUACCACAGCCCCCAUGCCCACCCCAGCAGCCUCUGAUGCCCCUGGACUUCACCUGUCAGCCGUGGAGUUCUCUGCACUCCCGUUUACUCCCCGCUAGUCACCUUCUGAGUCUAAGGUGCCCUUCCUCAAAUGAAGGCAGGAGGCCGACCUGUGAAUGGAGACACCAGGCCCCAGAGGUGAUAGGGCUCCAGGGACAGACACAUCUCUGCACUAAGAGACCCUCUCCUUUCUCGUGACCGUCCUGGGAGGGCUGGGCUCUGGGACCUCACCCAGUCUCACCCAUCCCUCUAUGUCCCCAUGUCCUUACGACCCAGCACAGGCCACAGAGCUGCAGCCUAGACCCAGAGCCCUCUCUGUGCCCUCCAUUGGUCUCCCCUUGGGGUGACGCCUGUGUCCCCAGGGCCCUGUGUGGCCCUCCCAGGCUGGAUGGGCAUCCAGCCCUCAGCCUAGACCCUGGGGUCCCGGGGACUGUCUCUAAGGCCACUGCAGGGCCCCUUAUCAGAACCGGCCUCUGUCCCUCACUCAGACACUUGCCCUGGGAGAGGGGAGGAGCACUGACCCCGCCCAAUCCCAGCCCAGGUCCCGGGACCAGGCUGUGUCCCACUGUUGGAACCUGAAGGCGGCUGCUCCCACUGUAGAGGCCCUUCAAGCCAGUUGACCUGAGACUAGCCCACUUCCCCCAGACCCCAAGGAGAAAGGGAGGGUUUCAUGCCUAAGGCCUGGAGGCCAGAGGGGAAGAAGACCCAGAGAAAGAAAACAGAUUUUUCCAGAGACAGGAGAGGGUGGGACAGGCUGGGAAGUUAGAGCCACGUACCUAAAACGGUGAGCUGGGUCCCGCUGCCAAACACAUGCUUCACUGAAUUAUGCUUGGAUUGAAACCCCCGGGGCCAGCACCCGGGGCCAGUCCAGGAGCCGCGCUGGAGCAGGAACCUGCUGGGUGUGAGGGGCACAGGGCUGCAGUGUGUAGGCUGUGAUCUAGGCACAGGGUAGGGGGGUGGCCAGUGUCCCAGUAGUGUCCCCCAGUAGUGUCUCUGUGCCUGUUCUCUAUCUGAGGCAGGUGCCGCCCACAGCCUUGGAGUCACCCCGGCAUGUGUCC